GCAUGGUGCAGAGGUAAAAACUCCGGUGGUAUGAGAUGGACCCGCGUCUGAUUAGGUAGUUGGUGGGGUAACGGCCUACCAAGCCGACGAUCAGUAGCCGACCUGAGAGGGUGACCGGCCACAUUGGGACUGAGACACGGCCCAAACUCCUACGGGAGGCAGCAGUGGGGAAUAUUGCACAAUGGGGGAAACCCUGAUGCAGCGACGCCGCGUGAGCGAUGAAGUAUUUCGGUAUGUAAAGCUCUAUCAGCAGGGAAGAAAAUGACGGUACCUGACUAAGAAGCACCGGCUAAAUACGUGCCAGCAGCCGCGGUAAUACGUAUGGUGCAAGCGUUAUCCGGAUUUACUGGGUGUAAAGGGAGCGUAGACGGAGUGGCAAGUCUGAUGUGAAAACCCGGGGCUCAACCCCGGGACUGCAUUGGAAACUGUCAAUCUAGAGUACCGGAGAGGUAAGCGGAAUUCCUAGUGUAGCGGUGAAAUGCGUAGAUAUUAGGAGGAACACCAGUGGCGAAGGCGGCUUACCGGACGGUAACUGACGUUGAGGCUCGAAAGCGUGGGGAGCAAACAGGAUUAGAUACCCUGGUAGUCCACGCCGUAAACGAUGACUACUAGGUGU
rnacentral:rRNA from 1 species